rnacentral:lncRNA from 1 species
UCUCUCUAAAGUUAGUAUCAGUGAGUUAAUUUGUUUUGCAUUGGUUAUGUAAAAAAGAGAAUAAACUUUGGCAUCAAUAAAAAGUUAGAUGAUGUUAUUAGCACGGUGACAUCAAAAAUGCACAACUAUUGGUCUAUAAUUACACCGUUGAUACAAAUAUUCAACGAUACCAUUGGCCAAGAUUUUGGAUGGACAACUUGUUGCUCAACUGCUGAAGUGUGAUGACCGUCGAACAUGGAAUUAUAUUGGAGUAAACGAGUAAUAGUCAUUUUAAUCUUUGAAUGUGUAAUUAG